rnacentral:misc_RNA from 1 species
GAACCUCGAACGAAACUCGAUCAAGCUUCUCGAAGGUCUUCGUUCUUCAUUCAGUCUCCUUCGAGUUUUCAACGAAAUUCAUCGAGAAAAUUGUCCGAUACAGUAUCGCGAAAUCUCGAUGGAGGACGAAUUUGAUCAUAGUCCAGUGAUUCGAAAGUCGGAUACAGCUGUGUACCGGUGGUAAUUCUGUGUCAACUCGUCAACGCGUUUCCGAAGGUUCGAUGAGGUUAAAUAAACCAACAGUGCGUUAAAUCGAUUUACUUUUGUGACAGUAGGUGUAAAUUCUUCGAAAAUCAUGUAGAGACCAAGAAGGAUAAGAGCGUUAAUAGUCGGAGUAUGUAAUUAAAGUCGCGUUAAGCCGAUAUUUCAGGUUCUAAAACGGAAAUUUGAGUGAAACGUCUAGCCGUAAUAAGGACACGACUGUCCGUGAGUGACAUCAACCCGCAUAAGCGAGAUACGAUGUCGAAACGUUGGUAAGCUUAACGAUUCGAAAGCCGAAAAGCGCGAGAAAGUCAGGGGAAAAAGUCGAAAAUCGAGGGAGAGAUCGCGAGAAAGGCGGAAAAGAAGGUGAGACGUACCACGUUGGCCGAAAAAGCUGACUCGUUCUUGUUCACAAACACGAAAACACACCGGACUUAGCAGCGGCCAAGUAGGUCAACCGGCGUGCGCGAGAGUGCGAGACCGAAUCAAACGGACGAAGAAGAGGAAGAAGAAAAAAAAGAAAGAAAAGUAUCGACGGGAGAAAGAUUGGACGAGGGAAGGAAGGAAAGAAUGGCGAGACGAGGGCAUUCGAGUUUUCACGAUGCUCGACGUUUUUACUCGGCAUAGGUUCGCGAUCCAAAAUGGCGGCGAUCGGCUGGUACCGUGGCACGAUUUACAACGAUAAAGACUGGUCCAACCACCACCAGAGCCGCUAAAGAACUUCUUUCGAGUGUUCUUUACAAUUAGCCUGACCUUGAUCAGGAGGUGCAAACACCGUUCGACCACAACGUUCAAGGAUACCAGGAUGCCAGAACUCGGGGGGUCGAAGGUCCUCGUGAUCUUGUCGCUGUUAGUUCUUCUAGGUGUAUCGGCUAUCCAGAACGAUCGAACGUCCUCUCGUUCCUCUCAAGAAGACAUAAUUCUUAGCGCCAGCUCGUACACGGGUCCGGAAAGGACGUCCAGCGUAUCUCACCGUGAUGAAUCGCCUAUUUUCCAAAGAACCGUUCCAGCGUUUCAACUGGAAAGCUCGAAAAGUAUCAAUAGCUACGACAAAGAUGAGAUCAGAUUCGAAGAAAGAAAUACGAGGCACGACAUAUCCAUCGACGAGCUAACGUCAUCGAAGCACGUCGAUCACAUAGACGGGAACAACAUCGAAGUGAAACCUGGCGAAUAUUAUCAUAUAACACCGACAACGAGCGAAUCCGUGUCGGGGGAAGGACUAGGGGCUCCGCAGGGACCAAAACUCUUGUCGGAGCCCCACCAAUUGGCUGGAGUGUCAAACCAACAGGCACAUUACUUGCAAGCAAUGGAUCAACAAAGACGAGCUCGCCAAGAGAUCCCCAGGAUCUAUAGCGAGCACGCUCCACCGCCUAUCCUGCAGACCGCUUCGCCAGGACAUCGACAAGCGAAUCCUGAUAUACAGGACAUCAUCACGGGUAUCGUCAAACUGCUGAAUGGAAACGUGAACGUCGCCGCUAACACGGUCAGGCCUCUCAGACCGAUUCAAGCUACCAGGAUCAACAAUAGGGGGCCUCCAAGAAUUUCUGACGUACCUCCGUUACCACCGGAUUUCGAUACACCUGGAAUGAAUCCUCCUCCUCCACCGGAUCAUCCUUAUCCCUUUGAGAAACCACCAGCUCCCGAUAGACCGUUGAUCAACCAAUUGCCGCCAGAAAGACCAAUUAGACCGUUUGUGAACGGUGUUCCAUUGCCGGAACAAAUCGUACCGCAAGGAAAUCGUCCCUGGACUUGGAAUCGACCUGGUUCAAACAGAAGACCAAUACCUCCGUACAAACCGCUGCCUCCAUCGUCAGAAUCCGUUUUCAAUCAGGAGAAAGAACAAGAAGACAAAAACACGAAACCCGACGUUCCAUCGACGGAGGAACCUUCGACAAAGAAAGAUCAAAGUGAAACCACCCCGCACAUUUCCGAGAACGCAACCAAGAAUCAUCAGGAAGGUGAUAAUCAAAAGACGAAAAUUGAUGCGAAGACCACGGAGAAACCAGUUACCGCGAAUAUUACGAAAAAUCCUGAAUCAGGAAGUUCCACGAAAAAGGAGAACAAACAUCAAUCUCCGUCUAAAGAGAAUAAAGUGAAUCAUAAUGCGUCGACAACGGAAUCGAACAAUGUGAAAAAAAUAAGUAACACGAAACAGGAAGAUUCACCGAAGCCCGUGAUACCGCUAGAAGUUUCAUUGAAACCUACGAAAUCCAUAAAAAUCACCGAUACCCAGAGACCCAAUUCCAGUAUAAACAACGAAAAAUCCAUCAACAAAUCGAGCAUGUCCAAGACCCCGAUAAAAUCCUAUUCUACGUCCACGUUGAAUAUCGAGACCAGCUCGUCAGUCCAUGUAAUCGAACCUACGACCACAAAAACAGUCGUUCAAUCGACCGCAAUCUCCGAGAAUAAUAGUGCAAGUUAUACAUCAAUUGCGCCUAGUACAGUGGCUUUAGAACCGAGCAAAUCGUCCGAUUUUGAAAGUACGAUGACUGUAUCGAAUGUGCCAACGCCGACAGACAGUUUACCAUCGAUUUUUACGAAAAGUUCGUCGACUCUGGAUAAAAGUGUAGUUCAUACGACGGCAUCGAAUACGUUCACAAAAAAUUCAGCCCCGGCGGAUCGCUAUGCUUAUCGACCCAGACCUGGGAUAGUCCUUGACGAUACCUUGGAUUACACGGGCACCCAAGGAUUGGCUACUCAACGACCUUACGCACCACCGAGACAUCCACCUCUCGGUGAUAUUUUUGAUGUCACGGUCUCGGCUAUUCAAGGACCCGGUGGUGGGACUUCUGGGGAAGGCGUGAGAGUACCGGUAAAUGCGGGAAAUGCGGACGUGAUUCUCACAUCGGCGGUCGAGGGUCAAGGAUUCGUCAGCAUCGACGGGAAAAGAACAUACUUGAACCUAUUCGAGAAUACAGAUCGAACCUCGACGCACGUGCAAACUCAGCCUCAGCCGACCAGAACGCAAUCACCGGCCGUUGUUGGCACAGGGUUUGCAGUGCCACAACCUGAUCCUCCUACAGCGACUCCAAGGCCGAGUGGUCCAAUACGAAGGCCUACGUUCCACAGAAGACCCACUCAACCACCCGUUAGGAUAGACACGUGUAUCGUGGGUGACACCAGCACUUGCGACAUUAGUCAACACGAGGCGUGUGCAACUGUUCAAGGAGUGUCUGCGUGUCAUUGUAAGCCAGGAUAUGCCAGGCUUCAACAUUCGUUACCGUGUAAAAAAAUCAUUAGCAUCAUGGUGUCGAUGAGAGUGGAUAAAAUUUAUGACAGGAAAGUUGUCUGGGACCGAGGAUUUACGGACAAAGACUCUGAACCUUACCAGACUUUGGCCUAUGAAGCAAAUCGAGCUAUCGAAUCUGCCAUGUCGAUGACACCGUUUUCGGACGAAUACAUGGGAUCCUUGAUCAACGGCGUGUAUCAAGGGGAUAUAAGCCAAGGUCAAGGGGGUGUCUUUGUUAACGCAACCCUGAAGCUCACUUACGAACCGAGAACAAUAAGACCAAGUUUAGCAGGGGAGUUGCAGAGACAUCUGCUCGGUGUUAUUCAUAGAAGGAGCAAUAAUAUAGGAAACAGUGCUCUCUACGUCGAUAGUCCUGCUGGAUCUAUAUCGAACUUACAAGACUUGGACGAGUGUGCUUCGUCGGAAUUGAACGACUGCCAUUCCUCGGCAAUUUGCACCAACAAUUGGGGAGGAUUUACUUGUACUUGCAAUCCAGGAUUAAAGGAUCCUCACAAGGAUGAUCCUAACGAAUCUGGUAGGACUUGUAUCUCGUGUCCUUCGACUUAUUGCAACAAUCGAGGCUCUUGUUCUUACCAGGGCGAUCAUAUGCAGUGCACGUGCACUGGUAAUUACUAUGGUGCUCAAUGCGAAGUAGAUGGGGAGGUUCUGGGAGUAGCGAUAGGAGCCUCCGUAGCAGCUUUAAUCAUUAUAGUCUUGACAUUAGUCUGUCUGGUCAUGUGGAGCCGUCGGUGGUCUCGUGAACAGAAAUCGGUCGGCUCUCCGGUGUACGGUUACAUUCAGGGAGGUAUCCCUGGAACGCUUCCAGGAACUUUGGCGAGGGUAGGUUCUGUGGGAACUCUCGCUUCCGUAAAACAAGGACCACCGACUAACUUGCCACCCUACAUGUGGGCACAUUUUGGUGACCAUAUGGCGACUGCUAACGUAUAUGCUACGGAACCCAUGGGACCAACGCGGCCGAGUUCCGCCGUGUUUGGGUACCCACCACUCAACGUUCAUGGAACGUUACCACCGGUGCCUUUGCCAAGACUUCAAGCACCACCAAGACCACGACAAAGACACCAACCUGAUCCCGACAGCUCGGACUCCGAGCCACAGGAUAAGGACAGAGCCGAUCUGAUUCCGCAGCACAGUGCUUUUCACGUUCCCAGGCCGCGAUCUAGAUCAUCUUUGGCGAAUCAAAGCGGGAUUUACAAUGACGUGGAGUACGACCAAGGUGACGUGCACCAUUUAUCGAAAAACAAUAUUCCGAUGUCUACUUACAGGCCGUAUUAUCGAACGUGAAACGUGUAAAAAAAACUAACUGUACCGUUUAGAAUGACAGAAUUGUUAGCAAAAAGAACGAUAGCGAGAAAAACUGAAGAGAGAAUGAGUUCAUUUUACUUUAUUCGAAGCUUUAUUCAAGUCGACGUAAGGUAUCAGCAUUACUAAUAAUUCCUAGUUACUUACUUGUUACUAUAUGAAUAUUUAUUAUCCUAACGUUACCCUCGAUAUAACAUCUUGCAAAAAUACCAAGGCUGGUUUAUACGAACCUAGUGAAACGAAAGGUGCAUAUCGAACGACUAGUACUGAAGCAAUCGCUCUUUUUUAUUACUUUACCUUUAAUCGUCGAUAAUUAUUUAUAUCUCACAGAUUAGAGAUAAGCAUCCACUAAAGGUGGCCGCAACUUAACGUUACUACUUUGUUAAAUCGUGUGUUAUCUUACCAUCGUCGUUUCUACGAUACUUAUCGCUGAACCGAUAAGCGAUAUACCAUGUAACGUAAGUUACGUUACAUUGAAAAAAAAAUGAAAGAAAAAUGUAAUAACGUAGCAUUCGUAGUUCCCUUUGGAAACAGAGCGAACGCAAGGAUCAAAAGAGCAAUAUAAAAUUUUAAUGAUAAGAAUAAUACUCGAUAAUGCGCAAGAGAGUGACAUUCUAGGGUGUCGAAUACCAUCAUUCACUUAUGUAACUUUUCUGUAAUUAUACAUUAUAUAUUUUUGCAAAUUGAAUACAAUAUACAUUUGAAAAUCCAUGCGCGUCGUCGCUUUCUCCUUGAAAAUUCUCCGAUGCCUAAAGGUACAAUAUCUCAACAGUGUUCUAAUCGGAUCAUCGAAAGUACGCUGGAAAAUACUGUGCGCAUAAUGAGCAAAAACGUUAAAACCCUUGUAUCGUUAUCAACAAACAGUUAGCUUCGUUAAGCGAAACACGUCGAACAGAGAUUAGAAAAAAUCGAUUGUGCUGAAAAUAAGAAAGGAGGUAGUGUAUCGGGGGGGAAUAAAAACGGUUCGUCAACGAG